UGCCCUCCUGGCCUCCUGGCCACCUGCGUCUGUCCAUUAUCCACUUAAUGACAGUUCACGAGGCAGCUGCUGAAAUGACAGGAACAUCGAAACACUGGAGCAGGGUGCGGGGAGAAAGAUUGAAACGUGGACAGAAAGAAGAGAGAAGUCGGACGGCUAGGCCUGAGCAGGUCAGAGCCAUGCCACGGCUCUUAUGGGACAAGGACUGUGGGCCGGCCAAGGAGGUGGACCAGCGCCAGGGCAGAGGCCGGGAAGGACAGACGUCAAGGGCAGCCAGGAGCGGAGCAGGAUGGAACUUCGCGGGCUGCUGAGGAGGCGUGGGGUCAGGGUGCAAGCAACUUCACACGCUGCAGAUUACCUCUUAUGCUUUGCCGGCCAAGUUAAACCACCUGUGUGCUUCACUUCUUUGAGGUCCCGUGUCUACGAGGAUCCCAACACAUUUCUAAAGGGGCCAGAGUUCACUGCAAAAGGCUUGAAACCUGCUUUCAGAAAAGCACGUCAGUGGAUCAGUGUGACCACUUCACAUUCUUCAUGCACUCUGUCUGUAUGAAGUGUCUCUUUUGAACGCUGCCCGCCUGGGCCUCUGGCACUGUCUUGAGCAUCUCCGGUCUCCCAGCCCUGCCUGCCCCUCCUCAGAGACUCGCUUGCCCUCUCGAGCACCAAGCCUGUCUGCUCUUGGGGACCAGGGCUGCAGGCUCAGGCCAAGGCCAGACCUACUGCUCCCACAGUUGGGUUUCACAGACCAGGGCAGCUCCUCACCGUGGACAAAGGAAACCCAGGGGCUCUGUGCAGCCUUGGGGAAGAAACCUAACAGAAGACAGGCUGCUGCCCUUCUCCUCCAGCCUUCUCCUGAACGCCCCCUCCUGAGCAAGAGCAGCCCGGCCGCAUUUCUGGGCAGUGUGGACAGUCGUGUCCGCCUCAGGCUCCCUCUCUGGGCCGCUGUGUCUCCAACCUCCAUUACCUGAGGGCUUCAAACAACGGGCUCUGGGAGGGAAGGCACCAUCCUUCAUAUUCCCCAGGGAAACUUUGUCUUUUACUGUCUUAAAAAGUCCUGCAAUUUAUAAAAUUCAUACAUUGCACAGAAAUCCAUUGGUUAUUAUGAAAACCUCUAUCUUUUCGCCCUUACACCUAUUAUCAAACUUAAUUCUCACAGCAGCCCCACAGGAUAGGGGCUGUGCAGCCACAGUGCCGUUUAAUAGGUGAGGACCGUGAGAUUUGUGUCUGCUCAUAGAACUGGAAUCCGAGGCCUGUGUCUAACUGAAGGCUCAGCUGAAUCCAAGACUUCAAAUUCUAUCACGUGGGGUACACAUCCACCUCAGAGAAGUCGGACAUUCCACCCAAGCUCACAGAGCUGAUAAUUAGGACAGCCGAGGCCUGAGAGUAGCCCCCAAAUUCCACGUCUGAUUCCUUCUCACAGUCCGUUGUGUAAAGGGAAAGAAGCCGGAACGUUCCUGUGGAGGGGCACUACUUUCCUCAGACACACUUUCCAUCCCCUGCUACGGCUCCUGUUACACCCCAUCAUGGCUAAGUGCUAGCAUGUCUGUCUUCUCUGCUCAUGAAGUGCAGGCACUGCCUUCUACACCAC
rnacentral:lncRNA from 1 species